CCCCCCGGGGGGCAGCAGUAGGGAAUCUUCCCCAAUGGGCGAAAGCCUGAUGGAGCAACGCCGCGUGGGUGAAGAAGGUCUUCGGAUCGUAAAACCCUGUUGUUAGUGAAGAAAGUGCGUGAGAGUAACUGUUCACCUUUCGCCGUCCGCUCCACCGCCCCACACCGCUAACUACGUGCCAGCAGCCGCGGUAAUACGUAGGUGGCAAGCGUUAUCCGGAUUUAUUGGGCGUAAAGGGAACGCAGGCGGUCUUUUAAGUCUGAUGUGAAAGCCUUCGGCUUAACCGGAGUAGUGCAUUGGAAACU
rnacentral:rRNA from 1 species